rnacentral:rRNA from 1 species
AGCUUGUACAGGUGCUGCAUGGCUGUCGUCAGCUCGUGUCGUGAGAUGUUCGGUUAAGUCCGCUAACGAGCGCAACCCUCGCUGUGUGUUACAAGUGUCACACGGAACUGCCGGUCAUAAACCGGAGGAAGGUGGGAUGACGUCAAGUCAGCAUGGCCUUUAUAUCCUGGGCUACACACACGCUACAAUGGGAAGGGACAAUAGGUUGCGAAGCCGCGAGGCGGAGCCAAUCCAGCAAAACUUCCCUCAGUUCAGAUUGCAGGCUGCAACUCGCCUGCAUGAAGUUGGAGUUGCUAGUAAACGCAGGUCAGCCAUACUGCGUUGAAUACGUUCCCGGGGCUU